AUUGAACGCUGGCGGCAUGCCUUACACAUGCAAGUCGAACGGCAGCACGGGAGCAAUCCUGGUGGCGAGUGGCGAACGGGUGAGUAAUAUAUCGGAACGUGCCCGGUCGUGGGGAUAACGUAGCGAAAGCUACGCUAAUACCGCAUACGAUCUACGGAUGAAAGCGGGGGAUCGCAAGACCUCGCGCGAUUGGAGCGGCCGAUAUCAGAUUAGGUAGUUGGUGAGGUAAAGGCUCACCAAGCCGACGAUCUGUAGCUGGUCUGAGAGGACGACCAGCCACACUGGGACUGAGACACGGCCCAGACUCCUACGGGAGGCAGUAGUAGGGAAUUUUGGACAAUGGGCGCAAGCCUGAUCCAGCAAAUGCCGCGUGCAGGAAGAAGGCCCUCGGGUUGUAAACUGCUUUUGUACGGACGAAAAGGUUUC
rnacentral:rRNA from 1 species